GACGAACGCUGGCGGCGUGCCUAACACAUGCAAGUCGAACGAAGCAUUUGGAGCUGAUCUCUUCGGAGUGACGCACCUUAUGACUUAGUGGCGGACGGGUGAGUAACACGUGAGCAACCUGCCUUUCAGGGUGGAAUAACAGUUGGAAACGGCUUCUAAUACCGCAUAACGUCAUAGUACCGCCUGAUAACUUGACCAAAGAUUUAUCGCUGAGAGAUGGGCUCGCGUCCGAUUAGGUAGAUGGUGGGGUAACGGCCUACCAUGCCGACGAUCGGUAGCCGGACUGAGAGGUUGAUCGGCCACAUUGGGACUGAGACACGGCCCAGACUCCUACGGGAGGCAGCAGUGGGGGAUAUUGCACAAUGGGCGCAAGCCUGAUGCAGCAACGCCGCGUGCGGGAAGACGGCCUUCGGGUUGUAAACCGCCGUCCUUGGGGAAGAAACAAAUGACGGUACCCAAGAAGGAAGCCUCGGCUAACUACGUGCCAGCCGCCGCCGUAAGAC
rnacentral:rRNA from 1 species